rnacentral:rRNA from 1 species
UACGAAGGGUGCAAGCGUUACUCGGAAUUACUGGGCGUAAAGGGUGCGUAGGCGGUUUCUUAAGUCCGUUGUGAAAGCCCUGGGCUUAACCUGGGAAUGGCAGGGGAUACUGGGAAGCUGGAGUGCGGUAGAGGAGGGUGGAAUUCCCGGUGUAGCGGUGAAAUGCGUAGAGAUCGGGAGGAACAUCAGUGGCGAAGGCGGCCCUCUGGACCAGCACUGACGCUGAAGCACGAAAGCGUGGGGAGCAAACAGG